UACGAAAGGUGCAAGCGUUACUCGGAAUCACUGGGCGUAAAGCGCACGUAGGCGGACUCGUAGGUCAAUUGUGAAAUACCUGGGCUCAACCCGGGAACUGCAGUUGAAGCCGCUUGUCUUGAAUACCUGAGAGGGUGGGGGAAUACCUGGUGGAGAAGUGAAAUUCGUAGAGAUCAGGUGGAACACCGGAGGCGAAGGCGCCUGCCUGGCAGUGUAUUGACGCUGAGGUGCGAAAGUGCGGGGAGCAAACAGG
rnacentral:rRNA from 1 species